GCCCUCGUGGUGUAAUGGAUAACAUUUCUGUCUUCGGAACAGAAGAUUGUGGGUUCGAGCCCCGCCGAGGGCA
rnacentral:tRNA from 1 species